GUCAGGUGACCGUUGAGCUCCCGCAGACGCCCUUGGCCCUUCCAGGUGAGGAACUGGCUUAGAGCUGCGGCUUCUCCUCCUGGAAGGUGUCCCCAAGACAUUGGCAGCCAUGAGUUGAAACAUUCUUCGAUGCAUUUCUGAGUGCACUUCUGUUUUCUGUCCUCACAACGCUGGCAGGGUGUGUUCAUUGGCACCAGCUGCCUCUUCGCCCCGAGACCUCCAGAGGAUAUCGAAUCCACUACAUCACUGUAGAUUUCCCAUUUUUGUGGACAAUAAAAAGAACGAUAUAAAUGAAAAAUAUCCAACACACAGUUGAUUAUAUGGACACCGUACACCUGACGUUCUCCUAAGUGACAGUUCUACACACCUAGUGGAUCUAGAGCACAAGAGGUAACUUCAGGACAUCUGAAACGUUUUUAUUGAGGAAGAACUUUCCACCAAGCAUCACAAUCCACAGUAAGCACUGGAAGCAUUUCCACCAAAGGUGAGGCUGAGGUAUGUGGGCCAGCCAGGCUCCUGCCAUUCACCGCUGCUCUGGAUGCGUAAGCUGGGCCCAGCUGGGGGGAAACACUCAUUCCCAUUAGAAGUUGCACUGAGGAACCUAUUUGCAAGACAUUUCCCAACCUAUGUGAAGGACAUAACAAAGACAUGACCAAAAACUGACAAACCUAAUUCUUUUUGUUUUUUAAUUUUUUUAAUGUUUUUUUAUUUUUGAGAGAGAGAGAACACGAGCAGUGGAGGGGCAGAGAGAGAGGGAGACAUGGAAUCUGAGGCAGCCUCCAGGCUCCGAGCUGUCAGCAAAGAGCCCAACGCGGGGCUCGAACUCAUGAACCACAAGAUCAUGACCUGAGCCAAAGGCAGAUGCUCAGCUGACUGAGCCACCCAGGCACUCCCAAACCUAAUUCUUACUGGAGGUGUGGUCACAUAAAGACCUCAGUGAUUUAGAAACUCAGAGCAAUUCAAAUGCAGAAGAAAUGUGGGAUUUAAAAAAACGAAACAGUGGCCAUUGUGCUGAGGAAAAAUAAUUUUGAAAAGAAAAAUUAAAUGGAGAGAUUUGCCAAAGAACACAUGAACCUAUUAAUGUGUGUGUUACAUGAAACUUUACAAUCAAUGAAAUAAAUAACUACAAGAUAUAUACAAAAAGCCAAUUUAAGGAGAUAAUUUUAAGAAAAGAGUACUAAAUGGAACAUAAUACCUUGAGAUCAUGCUAGCUCAGAUCUGCCUAAGAAAGAUCAGAAAGUAGAGGGCAAGAAGGAAAGAUUUACAUUUCACUGCAAAACACUGAUGAAGACACAAGGCUGUGUGUAAAGAAUUAAGCCAUAAAACAGCCCUUAAAAAUAAAUCAAAGGAGAACAGCAAAGUAUGAAAAUCCAGGUUUUAUUCCCACAAAACUAAUGAAAGUUACAAGUAGGUGGAAAAUGGAAAUACAACGGAUUGUCAAUUUCUCCCCAGUUUUCAAACACAAAGAGAUUACAGUACCAAUUUUGCUUACAUCAGGGGGGAAAUCUCACGUGUUGUUGUGGGAUGGGGUACUUCGUAGCUUUAGGAGACCAUAUCGGACAGAAUCUAUCCUAAUGUGAAAUGCACUUUCCUUAACCCAGUAAUCACACGUUGAGUUGUCUGACCCAGAGAAAUCCUGAGACAUCUGCAGAGAGGCCGGCCUACUCCUACACAGCCACCGUGGCAUUCUUUACAUCAGCGAAAAAUGGCAAAGGUCCCCGUGUGUCCCCAUUAAGAAAAUGAUCCAAUGAGGCUCUAAAUGAGCAAGCUGUGUCUGAUUGUGUUGAUUAACAUGAAAAGAGUGUCUAGACGUGCUAUGUAAAUUUUUCUAAUUUGCAUAAUAAAAUGUUACGACAAACUUCA